AACGAACGCUGGCGGCAUGCCUAACACAUGCAAGUCGAACGAGACCUUCGGGUCUAGUGGCGCACGGGUGCGUAACGCGUGGGAACCUGCCCUUAGGUUCGGAAUAACUCCCCGAAAGGGGUGCUAAUACCGGAUAAUGUCUUCGGACCAAAGAUUUAUCGCCUUUGGAUGGGCCCGCGUUGGAUUAGCUAGUUGGUAGGGUAAAAGCCUACCAAGGCGACGAUCCAUAGCUGGUCUGAGAGGAUGAUCAGCCACACUGGGACUGAGACACGGCCCAGACUCGUACGGGAGGCAGCAGUGGAGAAUAUUGGACAAUGGGCGAAAGCCUGAUCCAGCAAUGCCGCGUGAGUGAUGAAGGCCUUAGGGUUGUAAAGCUGUUUUACCCGGGAUGAUAAUGACAGUACCGGGAGAAUAAGCUCCGGCUAACUACGUG
rnacentral:rRNA from 1 species